rnacentral:rRNA from 1 species
UACGUAGGGUGCUAGCGUUGUUCGGAAUCAUUGGGCGUAAAGCGCGUGCAGGCUGUUAGUUAAGUCGGGUGUGAAAUCCCUGGGCUCAACCGAGGAAGUGCAUCCGAAACUAGCUAGCUAGAGAGUGGUAGAGGAAGGUGGAAUUCCAAGUGUAGAGGUGAAAUUCGUAGAUAUUUGGAGGAAUACCGGUGGCGAAGGCGGCCUUCUGGACCACUUCUGACGCUGAGACGCGAAAGCGUGGGGAGCAAACAGG